rnacentral:lncRNA from 1 species
GCUGGGAUUUUGUGCUUGGUACAUGGGUUGCAACCUUCCUCUUGCCCUCUCCUUGCUCUUCCUCCUUCUGCAGCUGCUUCAGGCGCAGCUCAGCAGCGUGGUGGUGAUCACGAACGGUCCUUGCACACCCCUGGAGCUCCCCGCUGCGCUUCCCACGGGGCUGCCUUGCUUUGGGAGCAGCGCGGAGGGGACGGAUUCAGGACUUCAGAGCCUGGAGGUGUCAGCAGAGCACCUCUACAUCCUGCGGCACCAGGGGUCCGAAGCCCCUUCUGCAGCAGGGUGGGGGUGAAUCCCGUUUCCCAGAGCAUCCCGAAGCAGAAGAGGGUCUGUUUUGGGGGGGGAAACAGACCCCAGCAUCCUGCCCUCUCCCAGUUAGCCAUCCCCUCUGAGCCUUGUGCCCAUCCCUGCUUAAUCCAGGGCUCACCGGUGGACACCAGGAGGGAUUUUUGUGGCAUGAGCAAAUUUUCAUUGGAUUUCAGCUGGGAGAGACACAGACUGGAUGGUGUCCCCCAGUGUCACCCUAUAAGUGCCACCGCUCGUAUUCCUGCACCAGAGGUGCCCCGGCGCCCGUCCCAAACCCUUCCAACCCCAUAUUUAUGGGGCGGUGACGUGCUCAUCCCAGCGCUCAUCACUUCCCUAUUUGCUCUCCAUCUUCCUCCACGAUCCUACCUGGUUGUAAAGUGGUUACAUCUCUGCCGAAGGGGAUUCGCAGCCGAUGUAUAUCAGCAUUUUCACCUCCCCUCGGGGACCCAUUUGUGGCGUUAUUGCUGUAAGGUAGACGGCUGCCACUGCGCACCGGGCAGCCCUUACGUGAGGCAUUUGGACAGAUUAACGGUAUCAGCAUGGGGUAGCGUUCCUCCAGAUAUAUGAAAUGAAAAGAUUAUUAUUUUGUUAUAAAACAAAGAGGAGAGAGAGUGAAAAGGGGAAGGAAGAUGAAAGCCGCCCGGAGCUCGCAUAAACCUACGUCUGGAGAAGAAGUUGGGAAAUGGACUUUGCUGCUUAUGAAAAAUUCCCAGGAAAAGAUCAUUUCGGCGGUGUUUGGAUGGUCUGCUUUAAAAGUGCGAAUCCCAGUGGUGCUUCAAGGUAUCAUUUAGGUAUGUUUAUUAAAAGCUCUCAGGUUGUUUUCUCCUGGUUGCUUUUUAAAAAGUGUUUUCAUUUAUCAGAAAUACGGAAGAUGAGCAUUUUCCACUUUCAUUUUCUCAUUGAAAACACGGAGAAUUUCACCAGAAAUGAACUGAAAUGAGAGAAAAUGCCACUUGCAAUAAAGCCACAGAUUUUCAUGCA